AUUCUUUUCUCUUAGUUUUCAUGUUUAGAGGUUGGGUUAGAGACUGGGUUAAGUUUGGUUAGGUUUGGUUAAGUUAGGUUACGAUAUGGGUAGGUUUGGUUAAGUUAGGUUAGGAUUGGGAUGGUUUGGUUAAGUUAGGUUAGGAUUGGGGUAGGUUUGGUUAAGUUAGGUUAGGAUUGGGGUAGGUUUGGUUAAGUUAGGUUAGGAUUGGGGUAGGUUUGGUUAAGUUAGGGUAGGAUUGGGGUAGGUUUGGUUAAGUUAGGUUAGGAUUGGGGUAAGUUUGGUUAAGUUAGGUAAGGGUUGGGGUAGGUUUGGUUAAGUUAGGUUAGGUUUGGGGUAGAACUGUUUAGGUUUAGUUUGGUUUGGGGUAAGUUUGGUUUGGGAUAGGUUAGGUUAGGUUAGGUUUGGGGUAAGCUUGGUUUGGGUUUGAUAUGGGUUAGGAUUAGGUUGGCUUGGAAUAGGUUUGAUUUGGGGUAAGUUCGUUUUUUGGCAGAUUUGGAUUAGGUUAGGCUUGCUCUGGGUCAGGCUUUGUUAGGGUAGGUUAGGGUUAGGUUUCGUCCUCAAUCUCUCUCAACCUUCACCUCACCUUCCUUUCCUCCUCAUCCACGCCACAAUUAUUAGUUUUAUGUCGGGAGGCGUCUUGACCCCGGAACCUUGAGGCAUUGGGCGCGGCGGGCCUUGUCGAGUCAUCAAAACAAGGCCACACAGACAAUGUUAGGGACGUCAUUACUUCAUUAGGCAACACAAACAGACCGACGCGCGUGUGACUAGACAACAAAGAGUAUAAAGGAGAGGAAAACUACUGAUGAGAUGGAAUGAAAACAGGAUAGAGUAGAAGGAAAGGAAGAGAAGGAAGGCAAGGGAGAUGAAAAGGGGAAAAGGAGAGGUUUGUAACGAAGAUAGGGACAAAUGAUAGAGUGUAGAAGCUGUGUAUAUGGAUCUCAAACUCGAUAGAGAAGCAGAAGAGGAGAAGAGGGAAGAGAAUGGUAGAUGAGAGGACCGUAAGGUAGAUAGGGACGUAGGAAGAGGAGCAGAACACGGAUAAAGAAGAAAAAGGAGAGAAACUGCUUAUAUGAAGAAAGAGCAAGAGAAGGGAGAGGAGAGAUAUGAGGAGGACAGAGACACAGAAAGAGUAUCAAUUAAUAUAUACGAAUAAAAGAGAAAGUAGAGAAACUGUAUUAGGAAGAGAGGAGAGAAGGGCAGAGGAGAGGUAUGCGAGAGAGAGACGGGAGGCAGGGGACGGAGGUAUGAGGUUAAGGUGAGGUCAGAAAGCCACGUCAAACCCCGGAAGUAAUAAGACAUAAAUCCCACCGCACGUCCCCUCCUCAGGCCUCCAGUGGGCGUCUGGAGGCCUAGCUGGGUCGCACGAAGCUUCUUGGGCCGCGGCGAAGAACCACCUCUAACCCGUAUUCUUAACUCUGUGUUCAUCUUUACUCCAUUGUCCAUAUAUAUUUCAACGCUUUU